AUGGAAUGGAGCUGGAGAGUUCUCUUUUUGGUGGCAGUUACUGCAGGUGUGCACUCCCAUGUUCAACUGACUCAGUCUGGGGCUGAGGCGAGGAAACCUGGCACAUCUGUCAAGCUCUCUUGCAAGGCUUCUGGAUACACUUUCACCAGCAACUAUAUGCACUGGGUGUGGCAGACCUCUGGAAAAGGCCUGGAGUGGAUGGGAAAUAUUUACCCUGGAUAUAGUGAUACAAACUAUGCCCAGAAUUUCCAGAGAAAAGCCACAAUGACAGCAGACACAUCCUCUAAAACAGCCUACAUGCAGCUGAGCAGUCUUAGUUUUGAGGACAUGGCUGUGUAUUACUGUGCAAAAGCUACAAUGAUUACAACCUGA